UGGUGAGAUAUCACUGCUUCUUUCUUUAAUCCAUUGUAAUGUUUCUGUUGUAUUUAAUUUUUUAUUUUUUAUUUUAUUUUUUGUGAAUAGUAGGUGCUAGUUAUAAAUAACCCUUUUGGGUUGUUCUGCCUUUUAAGGUUGUCUUAUAUUGUAGCUUUAGUGGAGAGCAUGGCGGUGAACCGCUUAGCUUUUUUGCUUGCUAGUCUCUAAUCUGAAUCCAAAACCAUCCUUGCUUAGUUACAGAUAUUAUUUGCGGUUUACGACAAUUUAUCAACAUAUUAUAUGCUUACGCAUCUGAAGUGCAACAUAUUUAUGGCGUUUACUUCCAAAUUGUCUCUUUCUACUGCUUUUCUGGUUGUGCUCUCAGUAAAGAUAACUUUCACAGACCUGUACUGAAACACUGUGAUUGCUGUUUAUUUAUCUAACGAGAGAUUUGACGCGCUAUUCUCUUGUUUUUGCGUUAAAAUGAGAAUUGUCGAGUAAAGUUCCGUGUUCUGGAAGUUGCGAAUGGGAGCACGUGUCUUAACUAAGUAUUCUCUUGCAGCCAUACAGACCAGGAUGAACCUGCAGUGCAUGGACUGGGAGGUUGUCAUUGGGUCUGCUGGAAUGAGGUCAAGGCCUUUUAACUUAAUGGUGCCUACAAAUGAACCUGAGUGCACUGGGUACCCAUGGACCUCUUAAUAUGGUUCCACUUUUGAACUAAAGGAGUGCAGUCCCUGUCUCUUCUGGUGAGGGUUUCGCCCCCCCCCCCCCCCCCCCCAUCUGAAUGGUUUGAGAGAAUGAACCGGUCAAACCAUGUAAUAUCUGGACUGCAUUAUUGCCCCAUGGGGUGUCUGCACAAAGUAACCUGGGCAAAAACCAAAGGCUCUGGGUUGUGCAAAGGAGCAUUGUGCUAUACCCAAAAGAAUGGGUUGAAUCCUCAGUGUCUAUCAGGUGGUGUACAUGACGUUGCCUGUACAGAUAAGAGUUCUGCAACAAUUUCCCCUGGAUGUUUUGCACCUUUUUGAAUUUGGCAAGGUGUCUCCAUGUCUGGCUGAUAGUGAACUUUUGCUGUCCAAGUUAAGAUUUUUCCCAUGGCUGUGUGAACCAAGUACUAUUCUGGAUUUCUGAGGUUGAAUUGCUAGAUGCUUUUCUUACCUAAAAAGGUAGCUGUAUUGGAAGUUGUACUCUUCAGUUGCUGUGACUCUCCCCUAAUUUUAUUAUCUGUAAUUCCAACAAUGGAGCUUCACAGUACAAAACUAAGCCUUUUUACAUGGUUUAAGGGUGGAUAUUAGACUGUUCAUGGGUUGUCAUUUUCCCUUUUUAAGCACUUGUGAUUUAACUUGAUGUGUUUGAAAAAUAAAACUGCCUUCAAGUUUAUGCCUACAAAUGUGUUCCUUUUAUAUUGUAAGAUGUAACCUUUUCCCAUUGACUUGUGAAUUUGGGUUGUCACUGGUUUAAAAGUGUAAGUGACACCAGAAGUACUGUUGUCUUCAACACCACUUUGUAGACUUAGCCGUUUCUAAAACCCAUGGGAUGGCUCCUCAACGGGCAUUGACUAAAUGGCACAAGUUUGUAAAUGGGCCAAUCCAUAUUUAUCCCAAAGGAAGUUGUGUAAAGAGGCUAAAGACUGAACCUUAAGGUUAUACCCUCAUGACAUGCAGUUUUCCAAUAAAAGCGUGCCUGCAUUUCUGAGAAUGAAUCUAAGGAGAACUGUGCCAAUAGUUAAGCUAUUAGUAUUAACCAUAUAAUGGCAACUGUUAAACCCUAAGCUAGGGGCCAGGGAGGCUCUACUAUCCUGUCAAAGGGCUGCAAGUGUUCUAGAGGGGACAAAGUCCAGACUGAAGGUUCAUAGAACAGGGAUCUUGGGUCCUAAAAUGUUCAGUUUUCCAAAGUUUAAGGUCAAAGUCUUAAAUGAUACAAGUCUUAAUCAUUUAAAGGGGUCUUAAAUUUAGGGGCUGAAAGACUGGAAGUGUCAUAUGAAGUAAUGUGAAUAUCAAACUUUAAAAUUUGAUUUGCAUGCAUUAAAGUGAAUGUGAUUCGUAUUUUCAAACAUGGGUGUUUCCAGCUGUUGCAAAGCAGUUCAGUCAUUAAGCCAUACGUUUAUAAGCUGAUUUAUUAAUGAUCAACUGUUGUAGUGCUGAUGAAAUAUAACAAUGUUUACUUUUAUAUUGUAAAAGCAGCUUGAAAGUGAGGUGAGGCAAGCAUUUCAAAAUGUGAGUCCCCAGUGUAUUUCAGCAUUUAAAGUAAUUUCUGUGUUAUGAAUCAGAUCAACGCAUAGUAUCAGCAAAAUCCAUGUUGGUUUACCUCUAUUUCUAUAAUGGUACAUAUGUUUUAAUGUGAUGUACUGUAUAUGUGGAAAACAUGUCUUUGAGUAAACUUGCAUACAGUA